rnacentral:rRNA from 1 species
UACGUAGGGGGCAAGCGUUGUCCGGAUUCAUUGGGCGUAAAGAGCGUGUAGGCGGCCAGGUAGGUCGGUUGUGAAAACUGGAGGCUCAACCUUCAGAGGUCGACCGAAACCAUCUGGCUAGAGUCCGGGAGAGGAGAGUGGAAUUCCUGGCGUAGCGGUGAAAUGCGCAGAUAUCAGGAAGAACACCCGUGGCGAAGGCGGGUCUCUGGGCCGAUACUGACGCUGAGGAGCGAAAGCGUGGGGAGCGAACAGG